GUUAUGUUUACAUUCAGUUUUCUUAUUAAUAAAAUAAACUUGUGUUUCUAACAUAUUAAUUUGUAAUUUCUAGCAAAUGAAGAAACAGUGUAUACAAAUUUUGCAGCAACCUAUUUCGGAGGCGUAAAUCAGUCAGAUUGUUCUAGGCUGAAACAUUGUUUUAUUUAACAAAGCAUAAAGGUGAAAACCACUUUUAAAAUUUCGACAUGUUGUCGUAAUGGUUUGAUAUAACAUGGGCUUAUAUGUGCAUUGCUGUCUCCCAGUGAGAGUUUACAACAGUUAGUGAAAGUUAACAUACUCGUCAACUGAAAUAUGGAAUUCUCACUAAAUCUUCAAAUCCGAGUGUCCGCAAGAAGAACCUGGAGGUCGGCUUGGUACCCCUCCAAAUGAUUCAAAUGCGAGUUGUCAGAAAACGGAUAUCCAGCGGAAUGAAACUAUGACCAGAAACAGUUAUCAGGGUGCAGCCACAUAGAACUGUCUCAUUUGAUCACCUUCCUGCUCAGAGCCGAGGGAUUGUUUUAAUCAUUUGGUAAAUUUAUGAAAAGUCGCUGGAAAGACUAAAAUCAAAAUUUCCCACUAAAUAUAAAUGCAAUAUGGCAUGUUGUCGUAUCUGGCAACCUCUGAUAAGUGAUAAGAAAUUGAUCUAUUGAAAAUACUCUUUAUAUGGUUCUUAUAAUAAAUUGUGAAUAGUGCAGAA